rnacentral:rRNA from 1 species
UACAGAGGUCUCAAGCGUUGUUCGGAUUCAUUGGGCGUAAAGGGUGCGUAGGUGGCGGGGUAAGUCAGGUGUGAAAUUUCGGAGCUCAACUCCGAAACUGCAUUUGAUACUGCCUUGCUUGAGGGCUGGAGAGGAGACUGGAAUUCACGGUGUAGCAGUGAAAUGCGUAGAUAUCGUGAGGAAGACCAGUGGCGAAGGCGGGUCUCUGGACAGUUCCUGACACUGAGGCACGAAGGCCAGGGGAGCAAACGGG